GAAGGGGCAAAAAUAAUUUUUUUUAUUUUGAGAAUUAAGACCCCUGCUUGUCCCUUUCAUUAGCCAUUGUGUAUGCAUUUGUGAUUAUGAAUUAACGUGUAUAUAUAUGAAUGGAUGCAUGUAUAUUUCCAUAUAUAUACAUAUGAACACAUUUUUUUGUCCACGACAUACAAAUGCAUACACAAAACCAAAACCAAAGAUAAAUGCGCAU
rnacentral:lncRNA from 1 species